GCAGCAGUAGUUUAGUGGUAGAAUAUACGACUGUGGCUCGUAUGGCGCGAGUUCAAUUCUCGCCUGCUACC
rnacentral:tRNA from 1 species